rnacentral:rRNA from 1 species
CACGAACCGUACGAACGUUAUUCGGAAUUACUGGGCUUAAAGGGUUUGUAGGCGGCCUUGUAAGUCAGGUGUGAAAGCCCUCGGCUCAACCGAGGAACAGCGCUUGAUACUGCAAGGCUUGAGGGAGACAGGGGUAAGCGGAACUGAUGGUGGAGCGGUGAAAUGCGUUGAUAUCAUCAGGAACACCGGUGGCGAAAGCGGCUUACUGGGUCUCUUCUGACUCUGAGGAACGAAAGCUAGGGUAGCGAACGGG